rnacentral:rRNA from 1 species
CCUACGGGUGGCAGCAGUGAGGAAUAUUGGUCAAUGGCCGUAAGGCUGAACCAGCCAAGUCGCGUGAAGGAAGAAGGAGCUAUGGUUUGUAAACUUCUUUUAUAGGGGAAUAAAGGUAGCCACGUGUGGAGAUUUGCAUGUACCCUAUGAAUAAGCAUCGGCUAACUCCGUGCCAGCAGCCGCGGUAAUACGGAGGAUGCGAGCGUUAUCCGGAUUUAUGGGGUUUAAAGGGUGCGUAGGUUGUUUUUUAAGUCAGCGGGGAAAGUUUGUGGCUCAACCAGAAAAUUGCCGUUGAAACUGGCAGACUUGCGUGUGUUUGAGGUAGGCGGAAUUCGUGGUGUAGCGG